rnacentral:rRNA from 1 species
UAGCUAGUUGGUGAGGUAAAGGCUUACCAAGGCGACGAUCUGUAGCGGGUCUGAGAGGAUGAUCCGCCACACUGGAACUGAGACACGGUCCAGACUCCUACGGGAGGCAGCAGUGGGGAAUUUUGGACAAUGGGGGCAACCCUGAUCCAGCCAUGCCGCGUGAGUGAAGAAGGCCUUCGGGUUGUAAAGCUCUUUCGGCCGGGAAGAAAUCGCAUGGGCCAAUACCCUGUGUGGAUGACGGUACCGGAAUAAGAAGCACCGGCUAACUACGUGCCAGCAGCCGCGGUAAUACGUAGGGUGCGAGCGUUAAUCGGAAUUACUGGGCGUAAAGCGUGCGCAGGCGGUUUUGUAAGACAGGCGUGAAAUCCCCGGGCUUAACCUGGGAACUGCGUUUGUGACUGCAAGGCUAGAGUACGGCAGAGGGGGGUGGAAUUCCACGUGUAGCAGUGAAAUGCGUAGAGAUGUGGAGGAACACCAAUGGCGAAGGCAGCCCCCUGGGUCGAUACUGACGCUCAUGCACGAAAGCGUGGGUAGCAAACAGGAUUAGAUACCCUGGUAGUCCACGCCCUAAACUAUGUCAACUAGGUGUUGGGUGGGUAAAACCAUUUAGUACCGUAGCUAACGCGUGAAGUUGACCGCCUGGGGAGUACGGCCGCAAGGUUAAAACUCAAAGGAAUUGACGGGGACCCGCACAAGCGGUGGAUGAUGUGGAUUAAUUCGAUGCAACGCGAAAAACCUUACCUACCCUUGACAUGCCAGGAACUUGCCAGAGAUGGCUUGGUGCCCGAAAGGGAGCCUGGACACAGGUGCUGCAUGGCUGUCGUCAGCUCGUGUCGUGAGAUGUUGGGUUAAGUCCCGCAACGAGCGCAACCCUUGUCGUUAAUUGCCAUCAUUUGGUUGGGCACUUUAACGAGACUGCCGGUGACAAACCGGAGGAAGGUGGGGAUGACGUCAAGUCCUCAUGGCCCUUAUGGGUAGGGCUUCACACGUCAUACAAUGGUCGGUACAAAGGGUUGCCAAGCCGCGAGGCGGAGCCAAUCCCAGAAAGCCGAUCGUAGUCCGGAUUGCAGGCUGCAACUCGCCCGCAUGAAGUCGGAAUCGCUAGUAAUCGUGGAUCAGCAUGUCACGGUGAAUACGUUCCCGGGUCUUGUACACACCGCCCGUCACACCAUGGGAGCGGGUUCCGCCAGAAGUAGGUAGCCUAACCGCAAGGAGGGCGCUUACCACGGCGGGGUUCGUGACUGGGGUGAAGUCGGAACAAGGUAGCCGUAGGGGAACCUGCGGCUG